AGCAGUGUGGCCUAGUGGGAAGAGCACAGGAUACAUAGGGAGUCAGAAAACCUGGGUUCUAAUCCCAGCUCUGCCA
rnacentral:tRNA from 1 species